rnacentral:tRNA from 1 species
GCGCUAGUAGCUCAAUUGGAUUGAGCAUCAGACUUCGGAUCUGAGGGUUAGGGGUUCGAGUCCUCUCUGGCGUACCA